rnacentral:lncRNA from 1 species
GAAAUAUGGGUAGCUGAGACCUUAAAGAACUGAGCAAGAGUUGCCCUCUCAGCAAAUCUCAACUCUCGAGUCACCCUUCUUCCUGCACUGAAGGAAAUCCUGGCAGCUUUUCUCUAGCAGGAACCACCAGAUGGGAUGAGAGGAUAAUGAAUUUCUUUCCUGCACCAAUUCGGGACCAAGGGUGGCCAGAACCCAUCCCAGCAGCUCCAGGCACAAGGUAGGAACCACACCUGGACAGGACACUGUCCCACGGGUGUAAUUUCACACCUGCGCCCACAGUCACCUGUGAGAAUGGGAUCUAAAGCUAACUACUCACAAGGCACAUCCUUGGAAUGUAGGAGCAAAGUGCAGUAUCCAGAGAAAACCCACGCUGGCUGGGGGACAAAGUGUGAACUCCACUGACAGUGGCCCCAGCCAGGAAUUGAUUUUUUGUCUCAUCAACAUUGUAACAAAAAGACAUUGAAUAAAACAACAUUAUUCAACGACCUAAUUAUAUUGCUCCUACAACCUAGCUGCCGU